rnacentral:rRNA from 1 species
UACGGAAGGUUCGGGCGUUAUCCGGAUUUAUUGGGUUUAAAGGGAGCGUAGGCCGCCGCUUAAGCGUGCUGUGAAAUGUACCGGCUCAACCGGUGACGUGCAGCGCGUACUGGGUGGCUUGAGUUCGCGGUAGGCAGGCGGAAUUCGUGGUGUAGCGGUGAAAUGCUUAGAUAUCACGAAGAACUCCGAUUGCGAAGGCAGCCUGCCGUAGCGUUACUGACGCUGAGGCUCGAAAGUGCGGGUAUCGAACAGG